rnacentral:rRNA from 1 species
UACGGAGGAGGCAAGCGUUAUCCGGAAUUAUUGGGCGUAAAGCGCGUGUAGGCGGCUUUGCAAGUCGGGUGUGAAAGCCCUCAGCUCAACUGAGGAAGUGCGCCCGAAACUGCAGAGCUUGAGUGCCGGAGAGGGUGGCGGAAUUCCCCAAGUAGAGGUGAAAUUCGUAGAUAUGGGGAGGAACACCGGUGGCGAAGGCGGCCACCUGGACGGUAACUGACGCUGAGACGCGAAAGCGUGGGUAGCAAACAGG